GUCUCGGUGGCGCAAUUGGUAAGCAUUCUCCCUUAAACCCAAGCUCUAGCAUCUUGUUAACAUUAAAAUAGGUUAGCGCGUACGACUGUUAAUCGUGAGGUUGAGAGUUCGAUCCUCUCCCGGGACG